rnacentral:rRNA from 1 species
UACGUAGGGGGCCAGCGUUGUUCGGAAUCACUGGGCUUAAAGGGCGCGUAGGCGGGUGGUCAAGUCAGGGGUGAAAUCUUUCAGCUCAACGUGGAAAACAGCUUCUGAUACUGGCCGUCUUGAGGGGGGUAGGGGCAUGUGGAACUUCCGGUGGAGCGGUGAAAUGCGUAGAUAUCGGAAGGAACGCCGGUGGCGAAAGCGACGUGCUGGACCCUUUCUGACGCUGAGGCGGCGAAAGCCAGGGGAGCAAACGGG